AGCACCGCCAUUUUCUCACUUUAACGUUGUGAUGUUCUUGCUGGAGUUUCUCCUCAAAUACCUGCGUCGGUUAUCUUUCAAAUUUGUUUUGGCAGACAGUACAAACCAGCUCUUCAUCGUGUUAAUUGAGCCGUGGACCUUCAUCUUAGUCAGUUUAAGAAUUACACCUGAUCUUCCUGUUUCUGUCCAGACUAAGAGGAUCCAGUAGACUCGAUAGAAUUACACCCGAUCUUCCUGUUUCUGUCCAGACUAAGAGGAUCCAGUAUACUCGAUAGGAAACCGACAUUGAAGACCAUGUGACGGCAGGAAUGGAUGUGGGCAUUCUCAUAAUUCCUGAUGGAGAUGAUGCCCUUGACUACUACGUGGUGCUGGAGGAACAGAUUGCCCCGAGAGAAGCCAUAGACCUCCCUCAUGCUGCGGCUCUACUAGUCGGGCUGAUUUUUGCGCUUAAUAUUGAUUAUCCCAAAAAACUACGCUACACAUUUGAGGUCAUUCAAAAGAUUUUCAUUGACCUUGGAGGUGAUCAGUGUUCUGUGAAGGUGCAUGGACUGAAAAAUAGACUACUUCGCAAAACUGUGUAGUGUCCUAACUGAAAGGUAUAUGAUGUGUGCCUUUUUGUUCAUGAUUUAGCCUGGUGAAUUUCUGCUUGUUUUAAAACGAUGAAUGUUCAAUUCUUGACGUGGUACUUUAUGCAGUGCUAAUAUAUGUAACUCAAUAUAAAAAUAUCUUGUUUGAUUUUUAGACACUUGUUUUCUGUUUAUACAGUGUUAUUGUUAAUGUACAUUAAGUCAAGUCACCUUUAUUUAUAUAGCGCUUUUAACAAUACAGAUUGUGUCAAAGCACUUAACAGCAUCAAAUUGGAGGACAGAGUGUCAGUAAUGUAUAAUAAGAUUAAACACUCAAUUUUCAGUUAAAGGCAUUUCAUUAUUGAAUUCAGAGAUGUCAUUGUUAGCUCAGUUUAGUUUAAAUAGUAUCUGUGCAAUCAAAUCGGCAAUAAUCGCUAGAAAUUAAGUGUCCCCAACUGAGCAAGCCAGAGGCGUUACUUUAUGUUUGUACAGUAUUGUUCAUGCAGUACAUUUGUUUUAUGCAGUACAGCACUGUAUGCUUUAUUCAGUAUUGUUCAUGCAGAACAUUACUCUGUAUUUUAUGCUGUUUUGUUUAUGCAGUACAUUACUGUAUGUUUAAAGUAUCAGUUAAUGAACUGGUUUUAGUGGAAAAAAUAAAAUCCAGAUGAUUUAU